rnacentral:piRNA from 1 species
AGGCAUCAAAAACUGUGUUGGUGGGGUUCAU